rnacentral:rRNA from 1 species
CAAUAGCGUAUAUUAAAGUUGUUGCGGUUAAAAAGCUCGUAGUUGGAUUUCUGCUGAGAACGACCGGUCCGCCCAUUGGGUGUGUAUCUGGCUCUUUCUUGGCAUCUUCUUGGUGAACGUUACUGCACUUGACUGUGUGGAGCGCUACCCAGGACUUUUACUUUGAGGAAAUUAGAGUGUUUCAAGCAGGCAUACGCCUUGAAUACGUUAGCAUGGAAUAAUAAGAUAGGACCUCGGUUCUAUUUUGUUGGUUUCUAGAGCUGAGGUAAUGAUUAAUAGGGAUAGUUGGGGGCAUUCGUAUUUAACUGUCAGAGGUGAAAUUCUUGGAUUUGCUAAAGACGGACUACUGCGAAAGCAUUUGCCAAGGAUGUUUUCAUUGA